GAAAGCUGAAGGAUGACUUCAGCUGUCCUUCAGCAAUUCGUAGGUGACAUGGGAUGGAGGUUCUGCGAGCCAUCCUGUGACUUGCUGGAAGAAAUUGCCUAGAAGGAAUUCGAGGACAGCAUCUGCUUUGCGUGUUGAGGAGAUUUAUUCGGUGACUUGAAGUGUUGUAGUGAGGUGAAGUGCUAAAGUGUGUACACCUUUAAAUUAUAUUUUUGUGUGUUAAGUGAAACCAAGAAACCUCCUCCAAAAUGGCUGCCUUUAUAGCCAAACAGAUGAUGGGCAGCCAGCUCAAUGCAGUUAAAGGUGAGAACUCGCUCUCCGCGCACUGUAUUAGAAGAGGA